AACUUAAAAGUAAUUAAACUUGAGGACCUUAGAUGAUUUUAGGAGUAAGUGGACUGCAAUACGAGGAAAUUGAGUUUGGUGAUUUGCAUAUGGAAGGUGGUUUAGGAGUUGUCCCAUCACGAGUUUCUAUGCUGUCAUGACCAAGGAGUAAGUGGACUGACAUACCAAGUAUGAUGCCAUAUAUUGGUGGAUGGGUUUGGUAACAAUAUGCCCCUGGUUUUUAUGCUACACCAUGUGUAUGUGAGUUUAUUAUAUACUUUUAGACCCUUCUGUAACUCUUUAUUGUUUCCAUCUCUCCAACAAUGUCUUCCACAGCAUUUGUGGCUAAGUUCAUGAGCAUCUACAAGGGGUUCCUCAUUGCAACAUUUUCCUGAAUGAUCGCGAGCAGGAGUAACCCCACUAAAAGUUUUUGACAUUGGGAGGACUCUUCAUGUUUGCAUCGUCACCAAGCAGCUGAUGUUUAGCUUGAUCCCUUUGUUUAUUUUCUUUCUAAUAUGGUGGAAAAACCUGUGAAUUGUAUUAAUCUAGCGGCCCCAAACCUUGUAUUCCCAAAGAUUAAAAAAGGGACCUUGUCUGCCAUACA